GGAAAACAACAGGGAUUGCCCUAGUAACGGCGAGUGAAGCGGCAACAGCUCAAAUUUGAAAUCUGGCCCUUGGGUCCGAAUUGUAAUUUGUAGAGGAUGCUUUUGGUGCGGUGCCUUCCGAGUUCCCUGGAACGGGACGCCAUAGAGGGUGAGAGCCCCGUCUGGUUGGACGCCAAUCCUCUGUAAAGCUCCUUCGACGAGUCGAGUAGUUUGGGAAUGCUGCUCUAAAUGGGAGGUAUAUGUCUUCUAAAGCUAAAUACCGGCCAGAGACCGAUAGCGCACAAGUAGAGUGAUCGAAAGAUGAAAAGCACUUUGAAAAGAGGGUUAAAUAGUACGUGAAAUUGUUGAAAGGGAAGCGCUUGUGACCAGACUUGAGCCCGGUUAAUCAUCCAGCCUUCUGGCUGGUGCACUUGGCCGGCUCAGGCCAGCAUCAGUUCGGCGCGGGGGAUAAAGACUUCGGGAAUGUGGCUCCCCCGGGAGUGUUAUAGCCCGUUGUGCAAUACCCUGUGCUGGACUGAGGUUCGCGCAUCUGCAAGGAUGCUGGCGUAAUGGUCAUCAGCGACCCGUCUUGAAACACGGACCAAGGAGUCGUCUUCGUAUGCGAGUGUUCGGGUGUCAAACCCCUACGCGUAAUGAAAGUGAACGCAGGUGAGAGCUUCGGCGCAUCAUCGACCGAUCCUGAUGUUCUCGGAUGGAUUUGAGUAAGAGCAUACGGAGCCGGACCCGAAAGAAGGUGAACUAUGCCUGUAUAGGGUGAAGCCAGAGGAAACUCUGGUGGAGGCUCGCAGCGGUUCUGACGUGCAAAUCGAUCGUCAAAUAUGGGCAUGGGGGCGAAAGACUAAUCGAACCUUCUAGUAGCUGGUUUCCGCCGAAGUUUCCCUCAGGAA
rnacentral:rRNA from 1 species